rnacentral:tRNA from 1 species
UGGUCUAGUUGGUCAUGGCAUCUGCUUAACACGCAGAACGUCCCCAGUUCGAUCCUGGG